UACGUAGGGAGCGAGCGUUGUCCGGAUUUAUUGGGCGUAAAGGGCGCGUAGGCGGUUAGGUAAGUCGGGUGUUAAAUCUCCAAGCUCAACUUGGAGUCGCCACUCGAAACUGCUUUGACUUGAGUCUGGUAGGGGAACACGGAAUACCUGGUGUAGCGGUGAAAUGCUUAGAUAUCAGGUGGAACACCAGUGGCGAAGGCGGUGUUCUGGGCCAGUACUGACGCUGAUGCGCGAAAGCGUGGGGAGCGAACAGG
rnacentral:rRNA from 1 species